CAUGCGCGCUCUCGCUCUGGCGCACGCGCUCUCAAAUAACCUUCAGGGUCUCUCAUCUGAGCUUCACUCCAUUUGCCUGCCACGUUAAUAGUGGUUGAAACACCAAAUGUUGCUGAGGAAAAUUAUCAGUCCUUCAUACCCUACUGUGAAUAGAGUCUGAGAGCCUGCUGUCCUUGUGGAAUAACAAGCAAGAAAUCAUCAACGGAAAACAUCAAGUACCUCGAAGAACAGACAGUGGACAACCACUGUCCUCUUGAUCAUCACCCGCACUCUCAUCAUCAUGGCUCACGUACUCGGAGCAGGCAUGGGAGAGUCUAUAGGCUCUGAAGAAAAGCUCUGCUAAGCUACAACACACGUGAAAUUGUUCUUAAAGUAUCUGUACAGGCAUAAAUACUAUUACGUGAGUCAAAAAUGGCCGAAGGAAAAUUGUCAUGAAAACAUAUGUGCCGGAACAAUGCUCUGGGCGUCAGCCAAAUAGCUGAAGGAGCUGUCAGAGAGACAAAGUGACAGAAGACCCUGGGUAUUGACCCCAAUCUCCAUAACCCCCAAACCCCUUGUGCCACAUGUGAUUAGGUUCACCAUCUAUAAAAUGAAGAUGACAACAGACCCCCUACGCCAGGGUUGCAUGUGAAUGCUGGUGUCUAUAUGUUACAGAACAGGAAAACCACAUAACUGCUCUCAACAUAUGUCAUCAAAAUCAUUGCCAAAAAAAUGUUAUAAGAGGAUUCAUACCACCUGUAUUUCAUAUGUGAGUUGCUUCAGUGGAUUAAAAAAUAUUAUCUACAAACAUAUAUACUAUUAUAUUAUAUAUGGUGUGGCAAUUGAGUUGGUACACAACAGGCUAAUAAAAAAGCUGAUAAAAUGAGAUUAUUUGAGUUAUAGUCCUGUCUAACCCUUACAAAACUUUCUGGCAUUUGAACAUAAGAACUAAACAAUGCAGCAGAUAGAAUGAUUUUCCUUUAAGCAAAGCCCAGAGCAAGGAGAACACAUUGCCCAUUACUGCCUUCUGAAACCUUUUUCCAGGCAUAAAUGUAUGUACUGUAAAUUAAUAGCAUUCUCCCUUACCAAAAAGAAUAUGGGUUUCUUUUUCUCCAUGUACCAUCUAGCAUAAAGACAACACUCAUUAAAAGUUGAAUAAUAAUGAAGCUCCAUUGGCUGGUUUAAUUUUAGGAAGCAUCAUUGUGGAAGAUGGACCAAAAAGCAUAUUCUGAGAUUUAGAUAUACAAUGCAAUUGCUGUCAAUAUCUAAAAACAAUUGCUGAAAUGAACAUGAUAUGAAUACCUUGAAUAAAGCAAUCCUGGCUGCUCACUGUGUUGCAUUAAAGCACACAAACUCAUGCACAUACACACGCGGCUUUACACUGCCCAAUUUGGGGUUUGUAAAAGCUACGUGGUCUGUAUUUCCGUUUGUGAUUUGUUUUUCUCCUGAUUUCCUCUCUCUCUUUUCUCAGGUUCACAUAACAUUUAUUUCAUACAUUUUCCUAACAGUAAACAUAUAGUCUGUGGGUAACAGUGCUGCUGACUGAUUAUAUUUUACUGAGGUGGUAGAUUGCUUAAAGACAACAUCAAAAAGUUUGCCAUCGACUCCCUUUCUUUUGAACUACUCCGAGCCCUAAUAUUUGCUUGGCUUCUGAACUGAGUUGCCAAACACCCUUCUCCAAAACCUUAGAUUCUCUCUUAAACUGUGGAACCUCUCUCCACAGAAACACUAACCUCUAUAGAAAAAAGGCAGAAAACAGAAAAGGGUGUGUAUGCACCCCCUGCUCAUGUUUCUGAAAAGAAAAUCAAAUAGGCUCUCAAAGAAAAUAAGCAUCAAGUGAUAUGAAAGCAACAGUUUUAUUUAGGGGGUUUUUAGUUUGAUUGCUUUUGGUAUGUUUUUCCAUUGUGGUGGGGAGAAGUGGGAGCACCAUUAUGAAUGCAGAGAGAAUAUUUGCACCAAAGAUAUGCAGAAUAUGAUUGAUCUGCAGGUGUCUGGGCAACCAAGAGAACAUCUAGGAAGUGAAACAAGAGGGGCCUGUACGCUAAGGCCAAAGUAGACCCCUGUAAGAUGCAUUAUGGGAGCUGGGCACAAUGUACCAGACAGGGCCAAUGGCCUUGUUUGCCAGAGACUGGAGUUCAGUGACUGAUCUGGAAGGAUAUUCAAGCCGCAGAAUAACGCAAAAACAUCUCAGGCACACUGUAGAUUGUGGAACAUGGGGAGACCAUUGCUCUAAGGUAAGGACAGGAAGUUCCUCACUGUAUUGCAAUAUAUUGUUCUUCUGCCCAGUGUUUGCAGUUAGGCAAUGACAGGUUAUCAGGUGAGCAUCUCCUAGUUGGGAUACGAGCACUCAAACUGAGUGUGGAGUCCUCUCUUCCCAAACACUGCUCUUUCAUGCCAGGGACAUCUAGACCUAGGGAUUUUAAAUGUAUUGCUCUUGAUUUCAUGUAGUUUACUUGAGCAGUGAAAGCAAAGUAUCUAUAGCCUGAAUUUCUCUUGGAGUUCUUAUAUUUCUGAUCAAUUUCUCAUGAAGAGUGACCUUAGAGGGUACCCAUAUUCACCUCAAGGGAGAGCCGGUUAUUAAUACAAUGUUAGUGCUCAAUCAGAAGAACUGCAAGUGUUGCCCCCUUUGUUUUGAUAAGUUCUCUGUACUGGCUCCUAUGUGCACCUUUAUGUAAGGAAUCACUGUGUAGGCCAAAUGUUCCUUGAUCUAGAUAGCUUAUAAGCAUCUGUAUAAAUUUACAUUAGAAAUUCAAUUAACUUUAUAUUAAAAGGUCAAUUAACUCGGCCAUGAUAAAGAUUAUUUUUAAUUACUUUUCCUUGUAGGGCUUCUCUUCUUGUCCAAGCACAAGUGACACUAUCAAAUGAUAGUCUCAUUGCCUGUUGCUUGCCUGAAACUCAUAUGCAAAACACAGUAGAAAUGACUGUCUUGGUUAAAUGAAUUAACAGGACACUCUGUGCAGUUCACCACUCUUAGGGUCCUUAGGACUCAAAAUAUCGGCAAGCAAUAAUAGAGAAUUUCAGCUUAAACACUCUCUAUAAGAUCAUUCAUGACAAUAUCCUUUAUUAUUUGUUCUUAUUGGUUUUUGUGUCCUUGGUGAAAGAUGAUAAUAAAGUAAAAUGAUUUUAAGAGUUAGUCCUUAUUACAUUAUAUCACAGUGUAUUUUAUUAAAAACUGAACAAAUAAUGACAUCAAAGACUAGCUGUCCCAUUCUAUUAGAGGGCUCUUGGUUACCUUUGGUUUUAUUUAUUUAUUUAUUUUUUUGAGGAAGAUUAGCCCUGAGCUACCAUCCGUGCC